rnacentral:rRNA from 1 species
GACGAACGCUGGCGGCGUGCCUAAUACAUGCAAGUCGAACGCACUGGGGACGGGAGAGUAACACGUGGGUAACCUCCCAUCAGAGGGGAUAACACUUGGAAACAGGUGCUAAACCGAUACUGAUGGAUGGACCCGCGGUGCAUUAGCUAGUGGGUGAGGUAACGGCUCACCAAGGCCACGAUGCAUAGCCGACCUGAGAGGGUGAUCGGCCACACUGAGACUGAGACACGACCCAGACUCCUACGGGAGGCAGCAGUAGGGAAUCUUCGACAAUGGAGGAAAGUAAGACCGAGCAACGCCGCGUGAGUGAAGAAGGUUUUCGGAGCGUAAAACACUGUUGUUAGAGAAGCGGUAUCUAACCAGAAAGCCACGGCUAACUACGUGCCAGCAGCCGCGGUAAUUC